rnacentral:tRNA from 1 species
UUUUAAGUGGCAGAACAAAUGCAUAGAUUUUAAGCAUCUAAAAUAGAUUUUUCUCUUUUUUCUUAAGUG